rnacentral:rRNA from 1 species
AACGCGAAGAACCUUACCCAGACUUGACAUUUAGGGGACAGUCACAGAAAUGUGAUCUCUCUUCGGAGCCGCUAAACAGGUGCUGCAUGGCUGUCGUCAGCUCGUGCCGUGAGGUGUUGGGUUAAGUCCCGCAACGAGCGCAACCCUUGUCGUUAGUUGCCAGCACGUAAUGGUGGGAACUCUAACGAGACUGCCUAGGUUAACUAGGAGGAAGGUGAGGAUGACGUCAAGUCCGCAUGGCCCUUAUGUCUGGGGCUACACACGUGCUACAAUGGCCGGUACAGAGGGCAGCGAAACCGAGAGGUGGAGCAAAAUCUCACAAAGCCGGCCCCAGUUACAGAUUGUAGUCUGCAACUCGACUACAUGAAGUUGGAAUUGCUAGUAAUGGCAGGUCAGCAACACUGCCGUGAAUACGUUCCCGGGCCUUGUACACACCGACAUA